AUUGAACGCUGGCGGCAGGCCUAACACAUGCAAGUCGAGCGGAUGAAGGGAGCUUGCUCCUGGAUUCAGCGGCGGACGGGUGAGUAAUGCCUAGGAAUCUGCCUGGUAGUGGGGGAUAACGUCCGGAAACGGGCGCUAAUACCGCAUACGUCCUGAGGGAGAAAGUGGGGGAUCUUCGGACCUCACGCUAUCAGAUGAGCCUAGGUCGGAUUAGCUAGUUGGUGGGGUAAAGGCCUACCAAGGCGACGAUCCGUAACUGGUCUGAGAGGAUGAUCAGUCACACUGGAACUGAGACACGGUCCAGACUCCUACGGGAGGCAGCAGUGGGGAAUAUUGGACAAUGGGCGAAAGCCUGAUCCAGCCAUGCCGCGUGUGGGAAGAAGGUCUUCGGAUUGUAAAGCACUUUAAGUUGGGAGGAGGGGCAGUAAGUUAAUACCUUGCUGUUUUGACGUUACCAACAGAAUAAGCACCGGCUAACUUCGUGC
rnacentral:rRNA from 1 species